AACUGUUCAUGAUGACCAAAAAAAUAAUGGGAAUCUCUCUGAAAAAGAAUGAAAGAGCCUUUUUGGACUGAAAUGGCC
ensembl:snoRNA SNORD79 Small nucleolar RNA SNORD79